rnacentral:rRNA from 1 species
AAGACGAACGCUGGCGGCGUGCUUAACACAUGCAAGUCGAGCGGUAAGGCCUUUCGGGGUACACGAGCGGCGAACGGGUGAGUAACACGUGGGUGAUCUGCCCUGCACUUCGGGAUAAGCCUGGGAAACUGGGUCUAAUACCGGAUAUGACCUCCUAUCGCAUGGUGGGUGGUGGAAAGAUUUAUCGGUGCAGGAUGGGCCCGCGGCCUAUCAGCUUGUUGGUGGGGUAAUGGCCUACCAAGGCGACGACGGGUAGCCGACCUGGAGAGGGUGACCGGCCACGACUGGGAACUGAGACACGGCCCAGACUCCGUACGGGAGGCAGCGAGUGGGAAUAUGCACAAUGGGACAAGCCUGAUGCAGCGACGCCGCGUGAGGAUGACGGCUUCGGUUGUAACCUCUUUCAGCAGGACGAAGCGACAAGUGACGGUACCUGCGAAGAACGAGACCGAACCGGCUAAACGUACGUCG